rnacentral:rRNA from 1 species
GCCUUACCAUGCAGUUCGAGCGGUAGAAGAAGAAGCUUGCUUUCUCUUGAGAAGCGGCGGACGGGUGAGUAAUGCCUAGGAAUCUGCCUGGUAGUGGGGGAUAACGUUCGGAAACGAACGCUAAUACCGCAUACGUCCUACGGGAGAAAGCAGGGGACCUUCGGGCCUUGCGCUAUCAGAUGAGCCUAGGUCGGAUUAGCUAGUUGGUGAGGUAAUGGCUCACCAAGGCGACGAUCCGUAACUGGUCUGAGAGGAUGAUCAGUCACACUGGAACUGAGACACGGUCCAGACUCCUACGGGAGGCAGCAGUGGGGAAUAUUGGACAAUGGGCGAAAGCCUGAUCCAGCCAUGCCGCGUGUGUGAAGAAGGUCUUCGGAUUGUAAAGCACUUUAAGUUGGGAGGAAGGGCAUUAACCUAAUACGUUAGUGUUUUGACGUUACCGACAGAAUAAGCACCGGCUAACUCUGUGCCAGCAGCCGCGGUAAUACAGAGGGUGCAAGCGUUAAUCGGAAUUACUGGGCGUAAAGCGCGCGUAGGUGGUUUGUUAAGUUGGAUGUGAAAUCCCCGGGCUCAACCUGGGAACUGCAUUC